rnacentral:rRNA from 1 species
AUUGAACGCUGGCGGAAUGCUUUACACAUGCAAGUCGAACGGCAGCACGGACUUCGGUCUGGUGGCGAGUGGCGAACGGGUGAGUAAUAUAUCGGAACGUAUCCAAUAAUGGGGGAUAACUAGUCGAAAGAUUGGCUAAUACCGCAUACGCCCUACGGGGGAAAGCAGGGGAUCUUCGGACCUUGCGUUAUGGGAGUGGCAGAUAUCUGAUUAGGUAGUUGGUGGGGUAAAGGGCCACCAAGGCGGAGAUCAGUAGCUGGUCUGAGAGGACGAGCAGCCAAACUGAAACUGAGACACGGUCCAGACUCCUACGGGAGGCAGCAGUGGGGAAUUUUGGACAAUGGGCGCAAGCCUGAUCCAGCCAUUCCGCGUGAGUGAAGAAGGCCUUCGGGUUGUAAAGCUCUUUCGCAAGGGAAGAAAACUUAGCCACUAACAUUGGCUGAGGUUGACGGUACCUUGAUAAGAAGCACCGGCUAACUACGUGCCAGCCGCCGCCGUAAGAC